CCUACGGGAGGCAGCAGUGGGGGAUAUUGCACAAUGGGGGAAACCCUGAUGCAGCGACGCCGCGUGUGGGAAGACGGUCCUCUGGAUUGUAAACCACUUUCCCCAGGGACGAAGAUGACGGUACCUUGGGAGGAAGCUCCGGCAAACUACGUGCCAGCAGCCGCGGUAAUACGUAGGGAGCGAGCGUUGUCCGGAAUUACUGGGUGUAAAGGGAGCGUAGGCGGGCCUGCAAGUUGGGUGUCAAAUCUACCGGCUCAACCGGUAGCCGCACUCAAAACUGCAGUUCUUGAGUGAAGUAGAGGCAGGCGGAAUUCCUAGUGUAGCGGUGAAAUGCGUAGAUAUUAGGAGGAACACCAGUGGCGAAGGCGGCCUGCUGGGCUUUUACUGACGCUGAGGCUCGAAAGUGUGGGGAGCAAACAGGAUUAGAUACCCCAGUAGUC
rnacentral:rRNA from 1 species